rnacentral:rRNA from 2 species
UCAGGAUGAACGCUGGCGGCGUGCCUAAUACAUGCAAGUCGAGCGAACAGACGAGGAGCUUGCUCCUCUGACGUUAGCGGCGGACGGGUGAGUAACACGUGGGUAACCUACCUAUAAGACUGGGAUAACUCCGGGAAACCGGRGCUAAUACCGGAUAAUAUUUUGAACCGCAUGGUUCAAAAGUGAAAGAUGGUUUUGCUAUCACUUAUAGAUGGACCCGCGCCGUAUUAGCUAGUUGGUAAGGUAACGGCUUACCAAGGCGACGAUACGUAGCCGACCUGAGAGGGUGAUCGGCCACACUGGAACUGAGACACGGUCCAGACUCCUACGGGAGGCAGCAGUAGGGAAUCUUCCGCAAUGGGCGAAAGCCUGACGGAGCAACGCCGCGUGAGUGAUGAAGGUCUUCGGAUCGUAAAACUCUGUUAUUAGGGAAGAACAUACGUGUAAGUAACUGUGCACGUCUUGACGGUACCUAAUCAGAAAGCCACGGCUAACUACGUGCCAGCAGCCGCGGUAAUACGUAG